rnacentral:rRNA from 1 species
GACGAACGCUGGCGGCGUGCUUAACACAUGCAAGUCGAACGGAAAGGCCCUGCUUUUGUGGGGUGCUCGAGUGGCGAACGGGUGAGUAACACGUGAGUAACCUGCCCUUGACUUUGGGAUAACUUCAGGAAACUGGGUCUAAUACCGGAUAGGAGCUCCUGCUGCAUGGGGGGGGGUGGAAAGUUUCGGCGGUUGGGGAUGGACUCGCGGCUUAUCAGCUUGUUGGUGGGGUAGUGGCUUACCAAGGCUUUGACGGGUAGCCGGCCUGAGAGGGUGACCGGCCACAUUGGGACUGAGAUACGGCCCAGACUCCUACGGGAGGCAGCAGUGGGGAAUAUUGCACAAUGGGCGGAAGCCUGAUGCAGCAACGCCGCGUGCGGGAUGACGGCCUUCGGGUUGUAAACCGCUUUCGCCUGUGACGAAGCGUGAGUGACGGUAAUGGGUAAAGAAGCACCGGCUAACUACGUG